GGCGGCGUGCUUAACACAUGCAAGUCGAACGAUGAAGCCCUUCGGGGUGGAUUAGUGGCGAACGGGUGAGUAACACGUGGGCAAUCUGCCCUGCACUCUGGGACAAGCCCUGGAAACGGGGUCUAAUACCGGAUAUGACCUGCCRAGGCAUCUUGSCGGGUGGAAAGCUCCGGCGGUGCAGGAUGAGCCCGCGGCCUAUCAGCUUGUUGGUGGGGUGAUGGCCUACCAAGGCGACGACGGGUAGCCGGCCUGAGAGGGCGACCGGCCACACUGGGACUGAGACACGGCCCAGACUCCUACGGGAGGCAGCAGUGGGGAAUAUUGCACAAUGGGCGAAAGCCUGAUGCAGCGACGCCGCGUGAGGGAUGACGGCCUUCGGGUUGUAAACCUCUUUCAGCAGGGAAGAAGCGCAAGUGACGGUACCUGCAGAAGAAGCGCCGGCUAACUACGUGCCAGCAGCCGCGGUAAUACGUAGGGCGCGAGCGUUGUCCGGAAUUAUUGGGCGUAAAGAGCUCGUAGGCGGCUUGUCGCGUCGGAUGUGAAAGCCCGGGGCUUAACCCCGGGUCUGCAUUCGAUACGGGCAGGCUAGAGUUCGGUAGGGGAGAUCGGAAUUCCUGGUGUAGCGGUGAAAUGCGCAGAUAUCAGGAGGAACACCGGUGGCGAAGGCGGAUCUCUGGGCCGAUACUGACGCUGAGGAGCGAAAGCGUGGGGAGCGAACAGGAUUAGAUACCCUGGUAGUCCACGCCGUAAACGUUGGGAACUAGGUGUGGGCGACAUUCCACGUCGUCCGUGCCGCAGCUAACGCAUUAAUUGCCCCGCCUGGGGAGUACGGCCGC
rnacentral:rRNA from 1 species